CCUUCCCCCAGAGGCCUUGCAGAGGUGGCUGCUGUGUCAUAUGUGUCAGUAGGUAGCAGAGAGGAGAGGGUCUGUGUCUGACCUGUGAACCUCUGAACCUCAGAGUAACUAGCAGCCUAACAUU
rnacentral:snoRNA from 1 species